rnacentral:rRNA from 1 species
AUAGUUCAGCACUAAGUCACUUUGUCUUCAUGGCAAAUGUGAGAUGCAGUGUAUGGAAUGUCAAAUUUCUAGUAUGAGAAAUUAACGAUUUAAGUCCUUCUUAAAUGAGGCCAUUUACCCAAAGAGGGUGCCAGGCCCGUAUAACGUUAAUGAUUACUAGAUGACAUUUCCAAAGAGUCGUGUUGCUUGAUAGUGCAGCACUAAGUGGGUGGUAAACUCCAUCUAAAACUAAAUAUAACCAUGAGACCGAUAGUAAACAAGUACCGUGAGGGAAAGUUGAAAAGAACUCUGAAUAGAGAGUUAAAUAGUACGUGAAACUGCUUAGAGGUUAAGCCCGAUGAACCUGAAUAUCCAUUAUAGAAAAUUCAUCAUUAUGAUUUUAAUAUUUAUAAUAUUAUAAUAAUGGUGUGCAUUUUUUCUAUAAAAGGACAUUGUAAUCUAUUAACAUAAAUUAUAUUUAUCAUAAGAUCAUUUCGCGUAAGUUUAUUCAAAUUAUUUUGCUUGCAAUUUAAUAUCGAAUAAAUGCAUUUGAUUUGAUAAAGUGUUGAUAGAUUUAUUAUAUAUAGUGCUUAAAUAUAUAUACAUAUAUUUUAUAAUAGCAUAUAAAUCAUUGAUUUUUAUGUUUAUUUAUAUGCACUUAUAUGAUUAACAAUGCGAAAGAUUCAGGAUACCUUCGGGACCCGUCUUGAAACACGGACCAAGGAGUCUAACAUAUUUGCAAGUUAUUGGGUAUAAAAACCUAAUAGCGAAAUUAACAUAACUUAUAAUGGGAUUAGUUUUUAGCCUAUUUUUAUAGUCUAUUAAUUCAAUCCCGGGGCGUUCUAUACAGUUAUGUAUAAUAAUAUUUAUAUUAUUUAUACCUCUAACUAGAGCGUNCCUUGAGCAUAUAUGCUGUGACCCGAAAGAUGGUGAACUAUACUUGAUCAGGUUGAAGUCAGGGGAAACCCUGAUGGAAGACCGAAACAGUUCUGACGUGCAAAUCGAUUGUCAGAAUUG